GUUCAAUAUGAUGAACAACGGAUCGGCACGAUCGGAUUCAGGUCAAGGAGAAAUCUGAUAGAGGGACUGCAAUCACGGCGUGCCAAACGUUUGGCAUCGUUCACAUUGAUCACGCGACAACACCAAGGAACUAUAGAGCUCGUCCAUUGGAUAACUCUCAACCAGAUAACGAUAGAAGACAAUCGUAAUUGUCCGACGCGACGGUGUGUAACAGAAAGCGGGCGAAUCUCGAAAAUGCGAAGAAGUCAGAAAAGGAAGACGAAGAAGAGGCUAGCUUGAGAUAGAGAGAACAGACAUCCACUCGAUCGGAGGCGACUCUAAUUGCCAUUGGGGGGCUAUAGCGGCAGCGUAAUAAUGCAAUCUG
rnacentral:misc_RNA from 1 species